rnacentral:rRNA from 1 species
AGAAUCCUAAGGUGAGCGAGAGAACUCUCGUUAAGGAACUCGGCAAAAUGACCCCGUAACUUCGGGAGAAGGGGUGCUCUAUUAGGGUGCAAGCCCGAGAGAGCCGCAGUGAAUAGGCCCAGGCGACUGUUUAGCAAAAACACAGGUCUCUGCAAAACCGUAAGGUGACGUAUAGGGGCUGACGCCUGCCCGGUGCUGGAAGGUUAAGAGG